rnacentral:snoRNA from 1 species
CGCUAUGAUGAACCCCAGAUAGGGACAGCUUAUACUUCGGUAUAUGAUGAGACCCUGGGCGAAAAUUUUAGUAGAUGCUUCGACUUUCUGAGC